UCCUCAUGCUGUUUCAUGGUUUACCGGGGAGGCUGUUCAGGAGGAUGAUUUUGAGGACUUAGAAGAGGAUGAUGAAGAUGAAGAUGGGGAGGAUGAUGAGGACGAAGAAGAGGAUGAUGAUGAUGAUGAUGAUGAGGAUGAUGAGGAAGAGGAAGAGGAAGGAAAGACAAGGAAGAAGGUAUGUGUCUGAGAUUUCAAAAUUUUAGUGGGUCUGUAAUAUUUGAGAAUUGUGCGCUUAUUUUUGAUCUGUUUUGUUGUCCCAAGCAG
rnacentral:lncRNA from 1 species